rfam:Zea mays cultivar B73 chromosome 9, whole genome shotgun sequence.
GCCUGUCUAGCUUAGUUGGUAGAGCGCAAGGCUCUUAACCUUGUGGUCGUGGGUUUGAGCCCCACGGUGGGCG